rfam:TPA: Bos taurus chromosome 15, whole genome shotgun sequence.
UCCCUGGUGGUCCAAUGGUUAGGACUUUGCACUUUCACUCUGAGGGCCUGGGUUUGAUCCCUGGUCAGGGAA